rnacentral:rRNA from 1 species
CCUACGGGUGGCUGCAGUGAGGAAUAUUGGUCAAUGGGCGCGAGCCUGAACCAGCCAAGUCGCGUGAGGGAAGACGGUCCUAUGGAUUGUAAACCUCUUUUGUCGGGGAGCAAACGACGCCACGCGUGGCGUUCCGAGAGUACCCGAAGAAUAAGCAUCGGCUAACUCCGUGCCAGCAGCCGCGGUAAUACGGAGGAUGCGAGCGUUAUCCGGAUUUAUUGGGUUUAAAGGGUGCGCAGGCGGGAAGAUAAGUUAGCGGUGAAAUGUGGAGGCUCAACCCCUUCAAUGCCUCUAAAACUGGUGGUCUAGAGAGUGUGAGAGGUAUGCGGAAUGCGUGGUGUAGCGGUGAAAUGCAUAGAGAUCACGCAGAACUCCGAUUGCGAAGGCAGCAUACCGGC